rnacentral:misc_RNA from 1 species
AAAGUUCGAAUAACUUUUGGUGUUAGAAAACUGUUCUAUUGCCAAGGCGACAGCCGAUAAGACGUGCUUUAUCUAGUACUUAGGUACAUAAAACCAAAAUUUUCACAUUAAAGUAAACAGUGCUAGAAUGUGUGGAAAGCACGUGAACAAGCAUCACUGCUUCUUUAUUUCACUAGCACAUCCUAGAGCCACUUCAAACGGCUUGAAAAUCGUCCUUUAUUAAACAAUCCUUCUGACUCCAAAGGCUCUUUACACAUUCAUCAAUCAAGUGAAAAUCCUGGGACAAAAUGUUCUGACGUAAAAUCGCUAAUCGCUGAAUAUAUUUGCGCUUCCCCAAAGCAAAUUGCUCGAAUUGUACUAUGUGUUUGCUUAGCUCUUAGGUUCGGCUACUCGAGAGAUGGAACUUUUCAAUAUUGGUUUAUCCGAGUAUGAGAUUCAAGGAGCAUUCAGCUCCUAUACCUAAGUAUUCUUCACCUAUUAAGUCCGUCAAAGCAUUUUCAACUGUAAAGCGAGUGGCUCAAUGCCAGACCCAUCGGAAAAUCACUAGAAAUAUUCGCAAUUUUCCACUUUCCAUUGACCGAAGAAACGUGUUGUCCUUAUCAGCUGCCCACAUACUUUCAGCAUGUUAUCGCAUACCGUUUGAGUGGCUGUUCUAUCACUACAGCACUUAGUGUGGAUUAGUUCUUGGAAAAUAAAAAAAGAGGCGCAAUGGUUUCGGUUCCAGUUGGUGCCAGACAAUUAGUGCGAGCGGUAGCAUGAGUUCAGUUGGAAAUCGGGAACUUCAGUUGCGUUACCUCUACAUUGAUAACAAUAGUUGAGAGCCGGCCUAAGGAACGAACCGAUUUUUGAAGACAUGGAGAACCUGAAAGAUGCGGAAGCGCGGAAGAACCGAACCACCACAAAUCCUUAUGCGAAAGCUGGGAUUUUCAGCAAGAUGACCUUUGCAUACCUGCUCCCAUUGUUCUACAAGGGAUACAGACGUGGCCUGACCGAAGACGAUAUCUAUCCCCAUUUGUCCAGCCACGACUCGAAGAUACUGGGCGAAAGACUGGAAAAGCAAUGGAACAAGGAGCUGAAGAACAGCAAAGACCCAUCCUUAUGGCGGGCGUUUGCCAAAGUGUUCGGCAGGGAGAUGAUGACCUACGGCUUAGGAAUUUUGAUGUUCGAAAUGCUCAGACUGACGCUGCCACUGUCCUUGGCCAAACUUCUCGAAUACUUCAACCCCAACUCCACCACGACCUUCAACGAGGCUUGCAUUUAUGCAGGCAUCAUCGGGGGCACCACCGUAGUCCAGAUCACCAUCAUCCAUCAUUCAAUGUUUCACGUUUUCCAUCUGGGCAUGCGGCUUCGGGUAGCAGCAGUAGCCUUAGUCUACAGAAAGGCCAUCAGAUUGAGCAAGUCGGCUCUGGCCGAGACCACUAUUGGCCAGAUGGUCAAUUUAAUAUCCAAUGAUGUGUCUCGGUUUGAAAUGUGCACUGUUAAUGUCCACAAUAUCUGGAUCGGGCCCAUUCAGCUGGUGGUGCUUCUGUUUCUGCUGCUGUCCUACGCUGGAUGGACUGGCUUGAUUGGAGUGGGGGUGCUGCUGUGUAUCAUUCCGUUUCAAAUCUGGAUGGGGAAGAAGACCUCGUUGUACCGGCUGCGCACCGCCAUCAAAACUGAUGAGAGAAUCCGGCUAAUGAACGAGAUCAUCAGUGGAAUGCAGGUGAUCAAAAUGUACACCUGGGAGAAGCCUUUUACCAAAAUCGUGGAAAUCGUGCGAAGACUGGAAAUGAACGAAAUUCGCAAAAACUCCUUCCUCAAAGCCAUCCAUCUCUCCUUCAACGUCUUCCUCACUCGGACAUUGAUCUACAGCUGCGUGGUUGUCCAUGUUCUACUAGGCAACAACGUGAAUCCCCAAUACAUCUUUGGCCUGUCCUUGUUCUACGAACUGCUCAGGCAAUGUCUAAGCCAGGCCUUUGCUCAGGGCGUAGCUCAGGUGGCGGAAGCCAUCAUUUCCACCAGAAGAAUCAAGGAGUUUCUGCUCUACGAUGAGCUGGAGCCUGAGUUCACCCUCAUAUCUUCAAGCGGCGACAAAAAUCAGAAAAGCGGCCUUAGCUCGAUUUUGGUGCAGGGCUCGGUGUCGGACAGCUCACAACCCAUUGGCGUGUCUUUGGAGAAUGUCAGCACCAAAUGGAUCAAAUCCCACGAAGAACUUGCGCUAAAGGGCAUCGACUUUGAAGUGAAUCCUGGAGAAUUGGCCACCAUUAUCGGCAAAGUUGGCAGUGGCAAAACCACCCUGCUUCACGUCAUCCUCAAAGAACUUGAGGUGACAGCAGGCAAGAGAAGAAUAAACGGAGUGAUUUCGUUUGCCUCUCAGGAGCCUUGGCUGUUCGUCGGCACUGUAAGGCAAAACAUCCUCUUCGGCCAGGACUUUGACGUGGUAAAAUACCACGAAGUGGUAAGAGUUUGUGCUUUACAGCGCGACCUCAAGCUCUUCCCUCAUGGCGACCGCACCCUCAUUGGCGAACGGGGAGUGUCAUUGAGUGGCGGGCAACGAGCCAGAAUCAACCUUGCCAGAGCCGUAUAUAAAAGCGCGGACAUUUACCUACUGGACGACCCAUUGUCAGCUGUAGACGCCCAUGUGGGCAAGCAAAUCUUCAAAGAAUGCAUCGACGGCUACUUAAAGGACAAAUGCGUGGUGCUGGUCACGCACCAGCUCCAAUACUUAAAAGACUGCAAGAAGAUCUACUUGCUAAACGACGGCUCUGUGCAGCACUCGGGCACCUACGAAGAUAUCAAGCAAGGCGGCAAGGACUUUAAAGUCCUGCUGGAGGAGCUGAAGAAAAUGGAGGAAGAGGCGAAGAAAGAGGAGGAAGUGAGGAAGCGCAAGCGCACCAUGUCAGCCAAGUCAGUUGCUGAAGACAGUACUGCUCUGGAGGAACCAACUUUUGGAAAAGAGGACAAAAUCGACGGCAAAGUAACAUGGGGCAUGUACAAAUCCUAUCUGCUAGCCGGCGGCAGCGCAUGCAAGCUGUUCUUUAUGGGUUGCGUCUUCAUUUUCUCCCAAGCCCUUGCCAGCAUGGUCGAUUACUUCCUCAGCGUUUGGGUCAAUAUGGAAGAAAUGAAGCAAGCGCGCAACAUCACAGGCGAAGUCAAUGACACCUUGAUCGACAGUCUGGAUGAUUCCCAGUACACAGUCUUCCAGAAGUUCUGGUUCGGUUUUCUAACUGACGAUGUUUGCCUGCUGAUCUACACUGGACUUAUGGCCGUGGUGAUUCCGCUGAUCGUUGGCAGAGCCAUUUAUUUCUUCAACUGGUUUGUCAGCGCUUCCAUCAACCUGCACAACAACAUGUUUUCGAAAAUCGUCCAUGCCCCGAUGCGCUUCUUCAACCUGAACCCAUCCGGGCGCAUUCUGAAUCGCUUCUCCAAAGACAUAAACAUGGUGGAUGAGUAUUUGCCGGUGACCCUUUCCGAUACUGUUCAGAUCGGCUUGAUGAUUGGCGCCAAUAUAAUCGUGGUGUCCACAGUGAUUCCUUUUAUUCUGCUGCCUACUGGGGUGAUUUUGGUCAUUUUCUACCUCAUACGAACAGUUUUCAUCGCAACCAGUCGCGACAUUAAGCGAUUUGAGGCAUUGACUCGAAGCCCCAUCUACUCGCACCUGACAGCCUCCUUGCAAGGUCUGACCACCAUCAGAGCCUUUGGGGCUCAAAAUAUGGUCAAACAGGAGUUCGAUAACUAUCAAGACGCCUACAGUUCUUCCUACUUUAUGUUCUUGGCUGCCAACCGAUCCUUUGGCUAUUGGCUGGACUUGCACACCUCGAUCUUUGUCACUUUGGUGACUUUCAGCUUUGUGCUACUGAAGACUGAUUCAUAUGGAGGUAGCGUGGGUUUGGCCGUCACGCAGGCGAUCAACUUGGCUGGAUGGUUCUCCUUCGGGAUUCGACAAUGGAGUGAAAUGGAGAACACGAUGAUUUCGGUGGAGAGAAUCAAGGAGUAUGCGGAUGUGGUGCCUGAAGCUGAUGCCCAGGCUCGGGAGCCUCCAGCCAGCUGGCCGCAGAGCGGAGAGGUUAAGUUUGUAAACGUGGGGCUUCGCUAUGGGGACGGUGAGCCCUACGUGCUCAAGCAGCUGAACUUCUCCAUUAAAACCAACGAGAAAAUUGGCAUAGUGGGGAGGACGGGGGCUGGAAAGUCCUCCAUUAUUUCAGCCCUGUUCCGACUGGCAGAUAUCGAUGGGCAAAUCCUGAUUGACAACAUCGAUAGCAAAACCAUACCGCUGAACAAACUGAGGUCCAGCUUAUCGAUAAUUCCGCAGGAGCCAGUGCUCUUUUCUGGAACGCUUCGCAAAAAUCUGGAUCCUUUUGACGAAUACAACGAUCAAACCAUUUGGAACGCUCUGGAAGAAGUCGAGCUCAAAUCAGCAGUGUCCGACCUGCCGCACGGCCUGGAAAGCCACAUGUCGGAAGGUGGCUCCAAUUUCAGCGUAGGCCAAAGACAGUUGGUGUGCCUGGCCAGAGCGAUAGUUCGCAGAAACAAAAUCCUCGUUCUGGAUGAAGCCACAGCCAGCGUGGAUCCGCACACUGAUGGCCUGAUCCAGACCACGAUUCGAAAGAAAUUUUCAGGCUGCACUGUGCUGACGAUAGCGCACAGAUUGCACACGAUCAUGGAUUCGGACAAGGUGCUGGUGAUGGAUGCGGGCCGCGCGAUGGAAUUCGAUCAUCCCCACAAGUUGUUGGAGGACGCAAGGGGCGUGUUCUAUUCGCUGGUGCAACAGACUGGAAAGGCCAUGGCUUCAAAUCUGGCGGAUAUUGCGGCCAAAAACUACCAAGAUUCUAGAGCAGCUGAGGAUUGAGGCUGCUGUGAUCACUCGAAUACGCGCUCCAGUGGAGGUGCCGUCCAGAACAAACCAGGAGACUUAUAUUAAUUAUGAUGUUUGAUUGAUAAAUGCGUCUAGCAAAGUGACUGAUUGUUUUUCUUGACCACUUGGAUUGGCAGAGACUUUUUUGCAAAUAAAAUGAAACUUUGUUGUUUUUACA